GAGAGAGAAAUCCUCCAUCUCUUCUUCUCCAAAAUAGGGGAUUCUUUCCCCUUUCGUCUUCUUCCAAUGGCAACAGUUGAAGGUCGGGGCUGACCACCUAUGGUGGCUCCCAAUGGGGAGAGGCUGUGACCCCUGCAGCAUCCAUUAUUGGCGGUGGUUGGUAGAACCAAGAAGAAAAAUAAGGACUACCCUAUUUUAAGGUGAAUCUAGUAACUUGUUAGCUCUAAUCCAUGCAUCAAUGAUGAGGAAAUGAUCGAAAAAAGAAAAUGAAUGGAGGGGA
rnacentral:lncRNA from 1 species